rnacentral:rRNA from 1 species
UACGUAGGGGGCAAGCGUUUGUCCGGAAUCAUUGGGCGUAAAGAGCGUGUAGGCGGCCAGAUAAGUCCGCUGUGAAAUCUCGAGGCUCAACUUCGAGCUGUCGGUGGAAACUGUCUGGCUAGAGUCCGGAAGAGGAGAAUGGAAUUCCUGGUGUAGCGGUGAAAUGCGCAGAUAUCAGGAAGAACACCCGUGGCGAAGGCGGUUCUCUGGGACGGUACUGACGCUGAGACGCGAAAAGCGUGGGGAGCGAACAGG